rnacentral:rRNA from 1 species
UACGUAGGAGGCGAGCGUUGUCCGGAAUUACUGGGCGUAAAGCGCGCGCAGGCGGCCUCUUAAGUCUGAUGUGAAAGCCCCCCGGCUCAACCGGGGAGGGCCAUUGGAAACUGGGAGGCUUGAGUAUAGGAGAGAAGAGUGGAAUUCCACGUGUAGCGGUGAAAUGCGUAGAGAUGUGGAGGAACACCAGUGGCGAAGGCGACUUUUUGGCCUAUAACUGACGCUGAGGCGCGAAAGCGUGGGGAGCAAACAGG